rnacentral:tRNA from 1 species
GGCUCGGUGGUCUAGGGGUAUGAUUCUCGCUUAGGGUGCAAGAGGUCCCGGGUUCAAAUCCCGGCCGAGCCC